CCCACCCCCGGAGUUCCUGCCUCAGGACUCUGGGUGCUACUGGAGAGAAACAGAUUUCUCCAGCCAUGACCAGCAUAGCUGGAGUUUUCAGCCAUUACUAUAAUAAAAACCAAGUACCAUAUGAAAAUCAAUGUGCAACAGGAAAUGAGCAUCGUCGUGUUACUCUGAUUCUCAGGUUUAAGAAGAUAUUCAGUGCCCAAACAGGCAUACACAUUCCAUUACUGACGGUUGAUGGAUCAUCGGAGCCUGCGCUGGAGCCCGGAGUGUCCGCUGACCCAGGGUCCCACCUGCCUCUCCCUCCCCUCUCCUGUCGCUUCUGGCUGCCUCAUCCUCUCUCGCUCUCCACCGGGGACUGCUGAAACCCCCACCCUGAGGACCAGCAUUGUUUAUUGGAAUUUGACGGCUGGACCUGCUGUGACCGUUUUGCUAAUGCCAAGAGGAUGAAGUCAACACACAAAGGAGACCAGAUCAGAAGGAACCAUAAGAAGCAGAUUGGGAGUCUGAUUCACUGCUGGAUUACUUAUUAUGCAAGGAAACAAACUUCCUGAUCUCCUGAUUGUUCAAGCCACUUUGAGUUCAGGUUAUCUGUUCUUUAUAGCUAAAAGCAUCUGAAGUUAUACCCAUCAAAUACACAUAGGCACACACACACACAAAAUAUCUCCUCCCUAACCAACCCUCACUGUCUGAAAUGCUUCUCCUGACCCAUUCUUUUCACUGGGGAGUUUUCUCUCUACAAUAUCCACAUAUCUCUGGAAGAUCCUCUGUACAUAUUUUCAUUUUUCUAAAAAUUGGUUUAAAUGUUGCUUACUAUUUUAUUGAGUCUUUACGAAAUGCUAGACCCUUGGGGCUGUGAGGAUUUGAGAUUAAGGGAAGGGGCCAGUAGAUGGGGAUGGUCUUUAAAGACUUGCUUUCAAAAAAUGAAGGAGAAUUAUCUAGGCCACUGUCUUCUUGGACUCCUCUCACUUUCACCACUAGGCUCACCACAGGCUGAUUGACUCCACCAAGAGGAGUGAAGAAAGCAGAGAAGUACCUAGUGGAUUGGGAGAGCAAGGUGUGUUUAGCCCUGAGACUCUAAUUCAUUGCUACUUGCCUGCAAGAAAGAGAAAGUGAUCCACUGUCACUGUGAUUAAGGUGUACUUCUUUUUGCCUUCCUCCUUUCUCUUUCAAUUUAGAAAAGAGAAAGGUUGGAAGAGAUAAACUCAAUCUCUAGAAUGUGAAACCGGAGUUCAAUAGGAGAAAAAAAUUGAAAUAUCAAAUCCAAGUAGAAUUAAUUUAAAGACUGAUGUGUCACCACUGAGAACGGGGAAUGCACUGAGCCCAUGACCGCUAAAUUCUUGCCCAGACAUGCUUGUUGGUGUUGGGGGUGGCACCAAAAGGGGUGUGCAUAAGCUGGAGGAGGAAAGUAGCUUCA